AAUGCCUGGACAGAGAGGAACGUUCCUGAAGACUUCGGUGCACCAGGAGUAAAAAGGACAGAAUCUACCUCUUGAUUUCCAAGCACAUGAAUACAAAAGUGGAGACUGGGUCCGAUAAAAGCCAUUACUGAGAAGAAGUUGCAGCUGGUGUGGAAGGGACUGUUCCAAGUUUUGCUGACUACUGAAUCGGCUGUAAGGAUUAAGGAACAAAUUUGGGUAUGCUAUUCCAGAGUCAAGGGAUUGGUGGCUUUGCAUUAUGGAAGGACAGUUGCUACGGAACCUGCAAACCCUCUUAAAUUGACUUUUUGAUGACAAACCUUAGACGAUUGGGGACCAAUGGAUGAAAGAAGAGUUUUAUGAAGAGAUUUGUAUUUGGCUAGGAGUGGUAAUAAUUCUUGUUGUGUUUUUGAUUGUAUUGAGGAAAGAUAUUAUUGAUUGGUGUAAAUCUAUGUUUUGAUAUCCAGUGGAUGUAAGUUCUCCUUGAUUGAUUGAUGUUGGGGGAGCUAGUUCACUAGGAAUAAUGGGUUUUUUUUUGUGGUAAUGUUUGUUAUUCUACAGGUGUGGAUAGGAAUGGGGAUUUUGGCUGUGUUGCCUAGUUACCCUAUAACAUGGUAGCAGCUAUGUUUCCAUACUGAAUUCGAGCACCGUUAUUCUUUUAUAGAAACACCACUAACCCUAAUAGACACCACUGAGGAAGCUGAGAUAUGUAUUAAGUCAUCUUUUGAAGAUGGUGUGUGCCAAGUGCAAACGUACAUAUGAGAUAGUUCCUCAAUACAUUGGCCUUACAAAUAGAAUGGAAUUUUUAUAUAAGCAAUGCACUGAGCUAUUUGGUAAUUAUAGGAGUUUUAGAUUUUGGAGGAAGGGUUACAUUUUCUAUGUUUAAGGAUACAAGUUCCUUCCAAGUUAAUGUUUUUAUGUGGUAACAUGGCAUUGACCAAAUUACCUAUUGUAUGGAGAAGAGUUUCUAUACUGUUACAGGAUAUUCAUAGUUUACAGAAAUAAAAGAUAAUGAAGAGGAGAAUUGGGGAUUGUGAGAAAAAUAGGAAUUAUUCCUGUAAAAGCAUAACCUGAGUUACGCCAUUUUGAAAUCAUGUUAAGGUUUUGUUUUACCUUGUAUAACCUGAUUAUAUAAUUUAGCUGACAUUUAAGAACAUGAGAAAGGAAAUGUGUAAUUCCUGUUUUUGAGAAGAUGUUUGUCUUGCAGGAAAUACGUUCCUGGGUUAACUUGCCCUUAUUAAUUAAAGGAAGUACGCAAUUGAUGUUUUUGAGGGGUAUUUCUGUUGGGAAUUGGGGAAUUUCCAGGGUGGAAUUAUGUACUGCAUAUGUUAUAUAAGAUGUUAUGUAAGAUCGGGAACUGAUUCCCAAGGUACUUUAUUGACGUGUAUUCUGAAUGUCCUGAAGACUAUAAAAACUUGUGUAAAUUGUUUUAUUUCCGUCUUUCUCUACUUUAGAGAGAAAGGCCCUUUGCAAAGAAUAAACUUUGUUCCAGGA